AGUGAACGCUGGCGGUAGGCCUAACACAUGCAAGUCGAACGGCAGCACAGUAAGAGCUUGCUCUUACGGGUGGCGGGUGGCGGACGGGCGAGGAAUACAUCGGAAUCUACUUUUUCGUGGGGGAUAACGUAGGGAAACUUACGCUAAUACCGCAUACGACCUACGGGUGAAAGCAGGGGGUCUUCGGACCUUGCGCGAUUGAAUGAGCCGAUGUCGGAUUAGCUAGUUGGCGGGGUAAAGGCCCACCAAGGCGACGAUCCGUAGCUGGUCUGAGAGGAUGAUCAGCCACACUGGAACUGAGACACGGUCCAGACUCCUACGGGAGGCAGCAGUGGGGAAUAUUGGACAAUGGGCGCAAGCCUGAUCCAGCCAUACCGCGUGGGUGAAGAAGGCCUUCGGGUUGUAAAGCCCUUUUGUUGGGAAAGAAAAGCAGCAGGUUAAUACCCCGCUGUUCUGACGGUACCCAAAGAAUAAGCACCGGCUAACUUCGUG
rnacentral:rRNA from 1 species